AACCUAGUGCUCGGGCUGGAUCUGCGCGCGUGAGGCUCCCCGCCGAUGCCAGAUGUUUGCUAGUUGAAAACUACCUAUUCGACAUUGGACCUAGCUCCAUGCGGCCCUUACGGGGCUGCGUGGGAAUCUUUGGAUAUGUGCGCGAAAA
rnacentral:snRNA from 1 species